CUGUUCUCGCUUCAGCAACAUAUAUACUAAAACUGGAACAAUACAAAGAUUAGCAUGGCCCCUGUGCAAGGAUGACAUGCAAAUUCAUGAAGCGUUCCAUUUUAUU